ACGGGUGAGUAACACGUAGGGACCUACCCAAGAGCGGGGGAUAACCAAGGGAAACUUUGGCUAAUACCGCGUAAUCUCGAGAGAGCAAAACUGCCGAGAGGUGGUGCUUUUGGAGGGGCCUGCGUCUGAUUAGCUAGUUGGUGAGGUAAGGGCUCACCAAGGCGAUGAUCGGUAACUGGUCUGAGAGGACGACCAGUCACACUGGGACUGAGACACGGCCCAGACUCCUACGGGAGGCAGCAGUGGGGAAUAUUGGACAAUGGGGGCAACCCUGAUCCAGCGAUGCCGCGUGGGUGAAGAAGGCCUUCGGGUUGUAAAGCCCUUUAGGUUGGGAAGAAGUUUAUAUGAUGAUAAGUCAUGUAGAUUGACGGUACUGACAGAAUAAGCACCGGCAAACUCUGUGCCAGCAGCCGCGGUAAUACAGAGGGUGCGAGCGUUAAUCGGAGUUACUGGGCGUAAAGGGCGCGUAGGCGGUUAGAUGGGUGUGAUGUGAAAGCCCCGGGCUUAACCUGGGAAGUGCAUCGCAAACUAUGUAACUGGAGUACAAGAGAGGGUGGCGGAAUUUCCGGUGUAGCGGU
rnacentral:rRNA from 1 species